CAGCCGCCGCGGUAAUACAGAGGGUGCGAGCGUUAAUCGGAUUUACUGGGCGUAAAGCGUGCGCAGGCGGUUUUGUAAGACAGAGGUGAAAUCCCCGGGCUCAACCUGGGAACUGCCUUUGUGACUGCAAGGCUAGAGUACGGCAGAGGGGGAUGGAAUUCCGCGUGUAGCAGUGAAAUGCGUAGAUAUGCGGAGGAACACCGAUGGCGAAGGCAAUCCCCUGGGCCUGUACUGACGCUCAUGCACGAAAGCGUGGGGAGCAAACAGGAUUAGAUACCCGGGUAGUCCCUGUCUCUUAUAC
rnacentral:rRNA from 1 species